rnacentral:rRNA from 1 species
UUUUGUAGAAUGAACCGGCGAGUUACGUUUGCCUGCGAGGUUAAGAUGAAAAGUCGGAGCCGGAGCGAAAGCGAGUCUGAACAGGGCGCUUCAGUAGGUAGAUGUAGACCCGAAACCAAGUGACCUACCCAUGACCAGGUUGAAGGUGUGGUGAAACACACUGGAGGACCGAACCCAUGUAUGUUGAAAAAUGCUGGGAUGAGUUGUGGGUAGCGGUGAAAUUCCAAACGAACUUGGAGAUAGCUGGUUCUCUCCGAAAUAGCUUUAGGGUUAGCCUCGGAGGAUGGAUCAUGGAGGUAGAGCACUGUUUGAACUAGGGGCCCGUCAAGGGUUACUGAAUUCAGAUAAACUCCGAAUACCAUUGAUCUUACUCCGGGAGUCAGACAGUGAGCGAUAAGGUCCAUUGUCGAAAGGGGAACAGCCCAGAUCACCAGUUAAGGUCCCUAAAUUUAUGCUAAGUGGAAAAGGAUGUGGCGUUGCACAGACAACUAGGAUGUUGGCUCAGAAGCAGCCACCAUUUAAAGAGUGCGUAAUAGCUCACUAGUCGAGUGGCACUGCGCCGAAAAUAUACCGGGGCUAAGCAUAAUACCGAAACUGUGGGUGCACCCGUCAGGGUGCGCGGUAGGAGAGCGUUCUAAGGGCGUUGAAGGUCGAUCGUGAGGACGGCUGGAGCGCUUAGAAGUGAGAAUGCCGGCAUGAGUAGCGAAAGAUCAGUGAGAAUCUGAUCCACCGUAUGACUAAGGUUUCCUGGGGAAGGCUCGUCCUCCCAGGGUUAGUCGGGAUCUAAGGCGAGGCCGCAAGGCGUAGUCGAUGACAAGCAGGUUGAGAUUCCUGCACUAGUUUAUUUUGUUUAAGCGAUGGAGGGACGCAGGAGGCUAAGGAAAGCGCACGGCUGGAAAAGUGCGUCCAAGCAGUAAGUCCGGUAGCGAGUGAAAUGCUUGCCGCCUUAAGGACAAGCUGUGAUGGGGAGCGAAAUUAAAGUAGCGAAGUUCCUGAUGUCACACUGCCAAGAAAAGCUUCUAGUGAGAAAUAAACUACCCGUACCGCAAACCGACACAGGUAGUCGAGGAGAGUAUCCUCAGGUGAGCGAGCGAACUCUCGUUAAGGAACUCGGCAAAAUGACCCCGUAACUUCGGAAGAAGGGGUGCUGACCGCAAGGUCAGCCGCAGUGAAUAGGCCCAAACAACUGUUUAUCAAAAACACAGGUCUCUGCUAAAUCGUAAGAUGAUGUAUAGGGGCUGACGCCUGCCCGGUGCUGGAAGGUUAAGAGGAUGAGUUAGCGCAAGCGAAGCCCAGAAUUGAAGCCCCAGUAAACGGCGGCCGUAACUAUAACGGUCCUAAGGUAGCGAAAUUCCUUGUCGGGUAAGUUCCGACCCGCACGAAAGGCGUAAUGAUUUGGGCACUGUCUCAACGAGAGACUCGGUGAAAUUAUAGUACCCGUGAAGAUGCGGGUUACCCGCGACAGGACGGAAAGACCCCAUGGAGCUUUACUGUAGCUUGAUAUUGAGUGUUGGUACCGCUUGUACAGGAUAGGUAGGAGCCGUAGAGAUCGGAACGCUAGUUUCGAUGGAGGCAUUGGUGGGAUACUACCCUAGCUGUAUGAACACUCUAACCCGCGCCACUAAUCGUGGCGGGAGACAGUGUCAGGUAGGCAGUUUGACUGGGGCGGUCGCCUCCUAAAAUGUAACGGAGGCGCCCAAAGGUUCCCUCAGAAUGGUUGGAAAUCAUUCGCAGAGUGUAAAGGUAGAAGGGAGCUUGACUGCGAGACUGACAAGUCGAGCAGGGACGAAAGUCGGGCUUAGUGAUCCGGUGGUUCCGUAUGGAAGGGCCAUCGCUCAACGGAUAAAAGCUACCCUGGGGAUAACAGGCUUAUCUCCCCCAAGAGUCCACAUCGACGGGGAGGUUUGGCACCUCGAUGUCGGCUCAUCGCAUCCUGGGGCUGUAGUCGGUCCCAAGGGUUGGGCUGUUCGCCCAUUAAAGCGGUACGCGAGCUGGGUUCAGAACGUCGUGAGACAGUUCGGUCCCUAUCCGUCGCGGGCGCAGGAAAUUUGAGAGGAGCUGUCCUUAGUACGAGAGGACCGGGAUGGACGUUCCGCUGGUGUACCAGUUGUGCCGCCAGGCGCAUCGCUGGGUAGCUAUGAACGGAAGGGAUAAACGCUGAAAGCAUCUAAGUGUGAAGCCCCCCUCGAGAUGAGAUUUCCCAUUCCUAUAUGGAAGUAAGACCCCUGAAAGAUGAUCAGGUAGAUAGGCUGGAAGUGGAAGUGCAGCGAUGCAUGGAGCGGACCAGUACUAAUCGGUCGAGGACUUAACCAA